CUUUGUUGCCAGCGAUUAGGUCGGGAACUCAAAGGAGACUGCCAGUGAUAAACUGGAGGAAGGUGGGGAUGACGUCAAGUCAUCAUGGCCCUUACGACCAGGGCUACACACGUGCUACAAUGGCGCAUACAAAGAGAAGCGACCUCGCGAGAGCAAGCGGACCUCAUAAAGUGCGUCGUAGUCCGGAUUGGAGUCUGCAACUCGACUCCAUGAAGUCGGAAUCGCUAGUAAUCGUGGAUCAGAAUGCCACGGUGAAUACGUUCCCGGGCCUUGUACACACCGCCCGUCACACCAUGGGAGUGGGUUGCAAAAGAAGUAGGUAGCUUAACCUUCGGGAGGGCGCUUACCACUUUGUGAUUCAUGACUGGGGUGAAGUCGUAACAAGGUA
rnacentral:rRNA from 1 species